rnacentral:sRNA from 1 species
AAUAUUGAGGCCAUUAUAAGAAGGAUGAAUCUAUAAUCUAUAUGCAAGCUACCAGUGAUUCUUUUUUUAGGGUACUGCCAUAACAAGCAUCACCACAUACUAGAAAGAUCAGACUUGGGAUCACCCGAGGUCUAGCAAUUUUGUCUCUCUGCCGUUUGCCUUCACACAAAUGUACCCAUAAAGUAAUAACCCGUAUGUGUCAAUGUCAGGCUAACAGCGCUUUCUUUUGUUUCAGAUCGGGCAGUACAUCAUGUCCCUCCCCCUGAAUCUUGAGCCAUUUGUGACUCAGGAGGACUCUGCCUUAGAGUUGGCAUUGCACGCUGGAAAGCUGCCAUUUCCUCCUGAGCAGGGGGAUGAAUUGCCCGAGCUGGACAACAUGGCUGACAACUGGCUGGGCUCGAUCGCCAGAGCCACAAUGCAGACCUACUGUGAUGCGAUCCUACAGAUCCCCGAGCUGAGCCCACACUCUGCCAAGCAGCUGGCCACUGACAUCGACUAUCUGAUCAAUGUGAUGGAUGCCCUGGGCCUGCAGCCGUCCCGCACCCUCCAGCACAUCGUGACGCUCCUGAAGACCAGGCCUGAGGACUAUAGACAGGUCAGCAAAGGCCUGCCCCGUCGCCUGGCCACCACCGUGGCCACCAUGCGGAGUGUGAAUUACUGACCCCACCACACACCGGACCACCAAGAGAGCCAGGGCUGCUGUUUCGCGACUCACCAGCAGAUUUGCUCAGAAACUCUGCCCAAGAUUGGGCAGAAGUUACUUUAAAAAGACUUGGUUCAGCUGGUCACGGUGGCUCACGCCUGUAAUCCCAGCACUUUGGGAGGCCAAGCCAGAUGGAUCAUGAGGUCAGGAGUUCGAGACCAGCCUGGCCAACAUGGUGAAACCCCAUCUCUACUAAAAAUACAAAAAUUAACAGCAGAGCGAGACUCUGUCUCAA